CUACGGGGGGUGCAAGCGUUAAUCGGAAUUACUGGGCGUAAAGCGCGCGUAGGCGGUUUGCUCAGUCGGAUGUGAAAGCCCAGGGCUCAACCUUGGAACUACAUACGAUACUGGCAAACUAGAGUGUGAGAGAGGAUAGUGGAAUUUCCGGUGUAGCGGUGAAAUGCGUAGAUAUCGGAAGGAACAUCAGUGGCGAAGGCGACUGUCUGGCUCAACACUGACGCUGAGGUGCGAAAGCGUGGGUAGCAAACAGGAUUAGAUACCCUAGUAGUCC
rnacentral:rRNA from 1 species